AUCACAGUUUUAUCGUCCCACGCUCCACUAUACAAAUCUAGUUUCUCUCUACUUCUAACCUUACGGAAAACCGCCUGCUUCUUGGCCAUACCCCAUAGUGGGUACGCGCCACUUGAAGACACAAUCUCGUGGAACGAGAUAUUCUACUAGCGCUGGGAAGCCAUGGUGCCACCACAAAAUUGACCGUCUGGUAAGUCCAAUGCCGCUUAUUUCGCACCGUCUUCUUUGUAGUAAAGUCCCUAGAUUUUGAGCUCUUGUUCAAGUAGCGACAUCUCCUCUCACACGCAGCCGGCGUCGGCCGCCGCGUUCUUAACUUCCUGAAGCGGCGCGCCCGCGUAGAUAGCACCCGACCGUCAACGGCCGCUCAUGCACCGCAUGAGUCAAAUAUAAGUUUCAGUCAUCGUGCCAGACAGUGAAAUACGAACCCAAAUGCGGCUUAAUACUGCGCUGGUGAGGUCGAGCGCGAAAUUUUCCGACACAAUUCUUACCCGUACUUAGUAGGCCUCUUCGAGUUUCGGAGUUCUGGCAGCGCGCUGGCAGCCAGACGACAGCCAGGUAGUUGCGGUCUUGACAGGAAGUGACGUGUCUAGGAUCCCAAGACAACCGGAAGCUGCUUGAAGUUUGCAAAAUCGAGCGCCGUGCCCGUUCCCGGUGCCCGUUCCUCUUGGGUCCACGAGGAGAGGCGAGACCUGGACAAGUCCUUACGAGAACGACACUUCGACCGAACAAAAUGGUCUGGACGGUAAAUUUGAUUAAAGUUGUGGUCGGGCAGGAAAAGACCGAGGUCAACGAAGCCCAGACUCAUUUGAAAAGGUGGGGGAAAGCUCAGGCUUUGCCUUUGAUGAUGUUAGUGAGCACCGUGCUCACGUUGGUCAUGUGUCGUGUGACACUGUUCAUCAUUCGAAAAUUGGGCUUCGGGGAAAAUGGUAUCCUGCCUAACACGGUGGCGUCCACGUGGCAGGCAGCAAUAGGAAACAUGGAAGAGGGCUCUUGGUUUACUACCUUGCAAAGCACGGGUGUCCAUGGGUUUUCAUGGAAGCAGCGCCUAUUCGUGUGUAACGUAGUGUACAGUGUUUUAAUUUCGAUCGCGUAUUAGGCCUCCUUGUUUUUUUUUUUCUCAAUAAAUUUGCGCACCAUGGCUCCCCUCGGA